rnacentral:rRNA from 1 species
AGUGAACGCUGGCGGUAGGCCUAACACAUGCAAGUCGAACGGCAGCACAGUAAGAGCUUGCUCUUACGGGUGGCGAGUGGCGGACGGGUGAGGAAUACAUCGAAAUCUACUUUUUCGUGGGGGAUAACGUAGGGAAACUUACGCUAAUACCGCAUACGACCUACGGGUGAAAGCAGGGGAUCUUCGGACCUUGCGCGAUUGAAUGAGCCGAUGUCGGAUUAGCUAGUUGGCGGGGUAAAGGCCCACCAAGGCGACGAUCCGUAGCUGGUCUGAGAGGAUGAUCAGCCACACUGGAACUGAGACACGGUCCAGACUCCUACGGGAGGCAGCAGUGGGGAAUAUUGGACAAUGGGCGCAAGCCUGUUCCAGCCAUACCGCGUGGGUGAAGAAGGCCUUCGGGUUGUAAAGCCCUUUUGUUGGGAAAGAAAGGCAGCAGGUUAAUACCCCGCUGUUCUGACGGUACCCAAAGAAUAAGCACCGGCUAACUUCGUG